UGGGGAAUAUUGCACAAUGGGGGAAACCCUGAUGCAGCGACGCCGCGUGAACGAAGAAGGUAUUCGUAUCGUAAAGUUCUGUCCUAUGGGAAGAUAAUGACAGUACCAUAGAAGAAAGUUCCGGCUAAAUACGUGCCAGCAGCCGCGGUAAUACGUAUGGAGCGAGCGUUGUCCGGAAUUAUUGGGCGUAAAGGGUACGCAGGCGGUUUAAUAAGUCGAAUGUUAAAGAUCGGGGCUCAACCCCGCAAAGCAUUGGAAACUGAUAAACUUGAGUAGUGGAGAGGAAAGUGGAAUUCCUAGUGUAGUGGUGAAAUACGUAGAUAUUAGGAGGAAUACCAGUAGCGAAGGCGACUUUCUGGACACAAACUGACGCUGAGGUACGAAAGCGUGGGGAGCAAACAGG
rnacentral:rRNA from 1 species